ensembl:lncRNA
CGCCGAUUGCGUCACAGCGAUGCGCCCUUAUUGCUGUUCCAAUAAGGGUCCUUCAAAUGCGGCCUACGAAUGCAGCCUUCUUUUCCCGGAUUUGAAGGAUGCAUUGGCUGUAUCCUUCACGGCCCAACGUAUCCCAAGGUCCUUCACGGCCCAAUGUAUCCCUCCCAAGAUUCAUUGCGCAUUCAAUCAAUGGAGAUGGCGGAGAAUGGCGAUUUAAGUUUUGCAUUUAAAUGAAGCCAGCAGCAUACUGCUCGAUUUAUUCAAUUGAGGGGGGAGAACGAUGAGCUGUUCACCGGGGUGAAAUACUCAGCAAGUGUGGCUUGGGGGACAAUUCUGGAGAAAAUAGGCCUGCAGGGGAAGCACUGUGCCCUUUCUGAGCGGAUUCAAGAAGAUCAGCUGGAAUUUUAGUGAAAAGGCACAUGGGAAAGGCGCCCCUGAUGGAGUUGGUGGGGCUGUAAAGCGCCUUGCAGAUACAGCGGUGCAGAGAGGGAAAGCUUACAGUCUCCUGAGGACUUUUACCAAUUUCUAAAAGACCAGACAUCAAGUGUCACAUACUUUUGGAUUUCUGAG